UUCAUGGGCAAGAUUUGCGACAUACGGU
rnacentral:sRNA from 1 species